CCUACGGGCGGCAGCAGUAGGGAAUAUUGCACAAUGGGCGAAAGCCUGAUGCAGCAACGCCGCGUGCGCGAUGAAGGCCUUCGGGUUGUAAAGCGCUUUUCGGGGAGAAGAGGAAGGACGGUAUCCCCGGAAUAAGGCUCGGCUAACUACGUGCCAGCAGCCGCGGUAAAACGUAGGAGCCAAGCGUUAUCCGAAUUCACUGGGCGUAAAGCGCGUGCAGGCGGCCUGGUAAGUUGGAUGUGAAAUCUCCCGGCUCAACUGGGAGAGGCCGUUCAAGACUGUCAGGCUCGAGGGCGACAGAGGGAGGUGGAAUUCCGGGUGUAGUGGUGAAAUGCGUAGAUAUCCGGAGGAACACCAGAGGCGAAGGCGACCUCCUGGGUCGUACCUGACGCUGAGAUGCGAAAGCUAGGGGAGCGAACGGGAUUAGAUACCCCAGUAGUCCC
rnacentral:rRNA from 1 species